rnacentral:rRNA from 1 species
UACAGAGGGUGCGAGCGUUAAUCGGAAUUACUGGGCGUAAAGCGUGCGUAGACGGUAGCGUAAGUCAGAUGUGAAAGCCCCGGGCUCAACCUGGGAAUUGCAUUUGAGACUGCUCUGCUCGGGUGCGGAAGAGGGAAGCGGAAUUUCCGGUGUAGCGGUGAAAUGCGUAGAUAUCGGAAGGAACACCAGUGGCGAAAGCGGCUUCCUGGCCCGACACCGACGUUCAGGCACGAAAGCGUGGGGAGCAAACAGG